rnacentral:rRNA from 1 species
ACUCCUACGGGAGGCAGCAGUGGGGAAUAUUGCACAAUGGGCGCAAGCCUGAUGCAGCAACGCCGUGUGAGUGAAGAAGGUUUUCGGAUCGUAAAACUCUGUCCUAAGGGAAGAAACAAAUGACGGUACCUUAGGAGGAAGCCCGGCUAACUACGUGCCAGCAGCCGCGGUAAUACGUAGGGGCAAGCGUUAUCCGGAAUCACUGGGCGUAAAGGGUGCGUAGGCGGCUUAGCAAGCCAGGGGUGAAAGGCAUUGGCUCAACCAAUGUAAGCCUUUGGAACUGUUAAGCUUGAGUGCAGGAGAGGUAAGUGGAAUUCCUAGUGUAGAGGUGAAAUUCGUAGAUAUUAGGAGGAACACCAGUGGCGAAGGCGACUUACUGGACUGUAACUGACGCUGAUGCACGAAAGCGUGGGUAGCGAACAGGAUUAGAUACCCUGGUAGACUGUCA